CUCUGAAUGUGAAGGGGGUGGAGUUGCUUAAUAGCCACUCAGAGAAGAAGCUUCAGAGCUAUCAGCUAAACCAUUCUGUUUUGUUUCUGUUCUUUCUUAACAGGAUCCAACAGCUGCAGCUAUUUCGGACAGAGACUGUGAUACGAGAGAGGGAGAGACUGUAGCCAUGAACUAUAAGCCAUCCCCGCUUCAAGUGAAAUUAGACGCUGGAGAGAUCAAAGUGUGACAGAAAGAGCGUGAAAACUGCACAUACUGCACACAAAUUUAUCCUGCUGCUUUGGUGGUCUUUUCCUUGGUUGUUUCUUCCCCUCUAAAUAAAUACAUUUGGCUACA